rnacentral:rRNA from 1 species
GUGAGGAAUAUUGGACAAUGGAUGGAAAUCUGAUCCAGCCAUGCCGCGUGCAGGAAGACGGCCCUAUGGGUUGUAAACUGCUUUUAUACGGGAGCAAUAAGGUCUAUGCAUAGAUUGAUGAGAGUACCGUAUGAAUAAGCAUCGGCUAACUCCGUGCCAGCAGCCGCGGUAAUACGGAGGAUGCGAGCGUUAUCCGGAUUUAUUGGGUUUAAAGGGUGCGUAGGCGGCUUUGUAAGUCAGCGGUGAAAUUUUGCAGCUUAACUGUAAAAGAGCCGUUGAUACUGUGAAGCUAGGAUUUGGUUGCUGUGGGCGGAAUGUGUGGUGUAGCGGUGAAAUGCAUAGAGAUCACACAGAAUAUCGAUUGCGAAGGCAGCUCACAAAGCCAAUAUUGACGCUGAGGCACGAAAGUGUGGGGAUCAAACAGGAUUAGAUACCCGUGUAGUCC